rnacentral:rRNA from 1 species
UACGUAGGGCGCAAGCGUUGUCCGGAAUUAUUGGGCGUAAAGAGCUCGUAGGCGGACUGUCACGUCCGCUGUGAAAAGCUAGGGCUUAACCCUGGCCUUGCAGUGGAUACGGGCAGACUAGAGGUAGGUAGGGGAGAAUGGAAUUCCCGGUGUAGCGGUGAAAUGCGUAGAUGUUGGGAGGAACACCAGAGGCGAAGGCGGCGAACUGGACGGCAACUGACACUCAACUGCGAAAGCGUGGGGAGCAACAGG